AGGUGCGAUCAUACCAGCGUUAACGCUUCGGAUUCCAUCAGAACUCCGCAGUUAAGUGUGCUUGGGCUAGAGUAGUACUGGGAUGGGUGACCUCUCAGGAAGUCCUAGUGUUGCACCCU
rfam:Picea glauca, whole genome shotgun sequence.